GACGAACGCUGGCGGCGUGCUUAACACAUGCAAGUCGAACGGAAAGGCCCCUUUGGGGGUACUCGAGUGGCGAACGGGUGAGUAACACGUGCGUAACCUGCCCUUGACUUCGGGAUAACUUCAGGAAACUGGGGCUAAUACCGGAUAGGAAUCCUUGCUGCAUGGUGGGGGUUGGAAAGCUUCGGCGGUUUUGGAUGGACUCGCGGCUUAUCAGCUUGUUGGUGGGGUAGUGGCUUACCAAGGCUUUGACGGGUAGCCGGCCUGAGAGGGCGACCGGCCACAUUGGGACUGAGAGACGGCCCAGACACCUACGGGAGGCAGCAGUGGGGAAGAUUGCACAAUGGGCGGAAGCCGGAUGCAGCAACGCCGCGGGCGGGAUGACUGCCUUCGGGUUGUAAACCGCUUUCAGCAGGGGCGAAGCUUGUGGUGACGGUACCUGCAGAAGAAGCACCGGCUAACUACGUG
rnacentral:rRNA from 1 species